GAUGAAGAACGCAGCAAAAUGCGAUAAGUAGUGUGAAUUGCAGAAUUCAGUGAAUCAUCGAAUCUUUGAACGCACAUUGCGCCCUUUGGUAUUCCUUAGGGCAUGCCUGUUCGAGCGUCAUUUAAACCUUCAAGCUAAGCUUGGUGUUGGGUGACUGUCCGCUUCACGGCGGACUCGCCUCAAAAUUAUUGGCGGCCGGUACAUUGGCUUCGAGCGCAGCAGAAACGCGAACUCGGGCCCGUCGUAUUGGCUCCCAGAAGCUAUCUUCACAAUUUUGACCUCGGAUCAGGUAGGGAUACCCGCUGAACUUAAGCAUAUCAAUAAGCGGAGGA
rnacentral:misc_RNA from 1 species